rnacentral:tRNA from 1 species
GGAAAUGUGCCCGAGUAUUAAGGAUUACUUUGAUAGAGUAAACAACAGAGACUGAAAUCUCUCAUUUCCU